AUACCUUCGGUUUGACGAUUUAUUGUCUCGCCGGCGUUGGCGGUUUUGGGGAUACGUGGGGCAACCCGCGCCAUUCCGCUUAAACACUGACAGCGGGGUAAAGUUUAGAACACCUUCGAUUAGUAGAAAUAUUCAUCGAAAAAGGAGCCUGAACUUCCCGCCAUACAAAAUAGGGUGGUUAGCCUCCCAUAA
rnacentral:misc_RNA from 1 species